rnacentral:rRNA from 1 species
AUGAACGCUGGCGGCGUGCCUAAUACAUGCAAGUCGAGCGAACAGACGGGGAGCUUGCUCCUCUGACGUUAGCGGCGGACGGGUGAGUAACACGUGGAUAACCUACCUAUAAGACUGGGAUAACUUCGGGAAGCCGGAGCUAAUACCGGAUAAUAUAUUGAACCGCAUGGUUCAAUAGUGAAAGACGGUUUUGCUGUCACUUAUAGAUGGAUCCGCGCCGCAUUAGCUAGUUGGUAAGGUAACGGCUUACCAAGGCGACGAUGCGUAGCCGACCUGAGAGGGUGAUCGGCCACACUGGAACUGAGACACGGUCCAGACUCCUACGGGAGGCAGCAGUAGGGAAUCUUCCGCAAUGGGCGAAAGCCUGACGGAGCAACGCCGCGUGAGUGAUGAAGGUCUUCGGAUCGUAAAACUCUGUUAUUAGGGAAGAACAAAUGUGUAAGUAACUAUGCACGUCUUGACGGUACCUAAUCAGAAAGCCACGGCUAACUACGUG